rnacentral:tRNA from 1 species
GAGGGUAUAGCUCAGUGGUAGAGUGCGUGCUUAGCAUGCACGAGGUUCUGAGUUCAAUCCCCAGUACCUCCA